rnacentral:tRNA from 1 species
GCGCCCGUCUUUCGACCAGUCAGUGGACGCAUCUGGCGCUCAUUUGACUACGAAUCAUAAGGUCGGGGGUUCGAAUCCCUCACGGCGCACCA